rnacentral:lncRNA from 1 species
UCCUCACUUUUCUUUUAAAGAUUGAUGCAAAUGGCUUCAUCCCUCUUCCCUAUGGAGCCUGACAUGCGCGCGAAGUAAAGAGUCUGUACGUUUAGUCCUAACGAGGCAUUGGAUUCAAUUUUUUCUAAAAAUUUUGAUCUCUAUUCUGCUGUGAAUAAGGUAACUCAUAAUUAUUAUGUAAUCCUUAGAAUAGAAAAUUUUUUUAGAUGCACUCUGGCAAUC